rnacentral:misc_RNA from 1 species
GUAUUUUGAAUUAAGUAUUCAUAAUAGUUUUUCAGACAAAGUGGUUCAAGGUUAUAGGUUGGUGUAGGUGUUUCUCCGAAAAGAAACACAACAUUGCACACAAGGUGGAUAUGGAUUUUUAAAGAGUGCCAUAAAACACUCGUUUGUGAAUGAUCCUUCCGCAGGUUCACCUACGGAAA